CCUUCUAUACAGGAGAGUAUUAUAAUAUAUAACAAUAAUGUCCGGAUCGUAUCCGGUUAAGAUAUGUCAAUAUUACGGUAUGUGACAUCCCCCUUUUUCUAAAAGAUGAAAUGAAAAUGAAAUGAUUUAAUGAAUAAAUGAAUUUGAGUAUUACCCAGUUAAAAUUAAUACUGAAUGAUUUUGACUAGAAAUUAAUACUGACUUGGUUUUGACUAGAAAUUAAUACUGACUAGAUUAAUGUCUCUUUUCCAAUUUAACUUUAAAGUCUAUAUAUUGUCUUUUCUGAUAACUAACUAAAACUAGCUAAAUGCUUUCUAAAAUCUACUUGACAGUUCAACAAAAUUAUUUUACAUAGUCAUUUAAUUUGGUUGGCACUUUGACUGUUCUUCCAGAUCUUGUCACGGGUGACUUAGAUGGUUCAAUACUUUCAUUUUCCUCGGACGCAACGGUUUCACUGCGGUCUAAUGUUUGUGAAGUGUUACAGACAGUUGAAGUUUUACGGACGGUUGAAUUGUGAUUGUUCUUGAAAUGUUCAUUAUCAACUGUGUUUCCAUUGUAAGCUGUUGGUCUUAUAUGCCUACGGUUUCUUCUGUAACGCCUGCCAUCUGAUGUUUGUACUACAUAGGAGCGAGGAGUGUGGUGUUUUUGAAUUAUUUUCCCUGCUUUCCAUUUACCAUCUGUGUACAUUACAAUAGAGUCUCCUUGUUUUAGCUGUUUCAAUUCAGGUCCACAAUGUUUAUCAUAGUUGGUUUUAGCUUUCCUUUGGCGAAUUUCGAGUUUUUUGAUAAUUUCGCUGUUGUUGACGUUUUGUGGCAUCAAGUAGGUAGUGAGUGAUGUUUUUAAUCUCCUAUUUAGGAACAAUUGUGCUGGCGAAAGAUCAAUGUCCAACGGUGUGUUUCGAUAGUCUAAUAGAGCUUUGUGUGGAUCCUUCGAUUUCAUAAUUAGCUUCUUGAUGGUUUGAACGCUUCUUUCUGCUUGUCCGUUCGACUGAGCAUAGUGUGGGCUGCUCGUUGUAUGUUUAAAUCCAUAUUCGGUAGCAAAUCUUUUGAAUUCUAAUGAAGAAAACUGAGGACCAUUGUCGGAAACUAAUUCGUCAAUAUAUCCAAAUCUUGACAUUAGUCCUUUUAAGUAAUCAAUGGUGUUUUUGCUAGUUUCAUUGUCUAGUUUCAUAACUUCUGGCCACUUUGAGUAGUAGUCUACUACUAAUAGAUAAUGUUGUUUUUGGUAUUCAAAUAAGUCGGUAGCAACUUUUGACCAGGGUCUUUCCGGUAUUUCUGGCAUUAACAUCGGUUCCUUUGCGUUUAGAGACUGAUGUUGAGCGCAAAGUCCACAUGCUUUAACUUUGUCCUCGAUGUCUUGUCCCAUGCCGAUCCAGAAUAGUACAUCACGUGCACGGCUUUUGCACUUUACGAUUCCAAGAUGUGAUUCGUGUAUUUUGUCCAACAUUUCAUUUUGUAGCGCUUUUGGUACAAUUGCUUUGUUUGACUUGUACAAUAGUCCAUCGAUGACUGAAAGUUCAUCACGGUAAGUCCAAUAUGGCCUCAAAGAGUGUAUAAGUUCAGAUUUUUCAUUUGGCCAUCCAUUAAAUAUGACAUCUUGUAAUUCCUGAAGGUGUUCAUCAUUUGCAGUUUCCUUCUGAAAUUUAGCAUACAUUUCUGGUGCAAUUGGCAAGUAUGAUAUCAAAUGAAUGUCAUUCACGUGUAAGUCUGGUACUAAUACUUCCUUUGUUUCUUUUAGGAACGAUCUACUGAGAUGAUCUGCUAGAUACAUCUCUUUGCCUGGUUUAUAGUCAACUUUAAGAUCAUACUUUUCUAAUGCUAUUAAAAGUCUCUGUAAUCUAGGCGGUGUUUGGUGAAGCGGUUUCAGGAAGAUUGAUUGUAGCGGUUUAUGGUCUGUCUCUAUUUGAACUCGGCGACCAUAUACGUACUCAUGGAAUUUAUUACAUCCAUAAACAAUUGCAAGAGUUUCUUUCUCGAUCUGUGGAUAUCGUUGUUGUGUUUGAGUAAGAGCACGUGAGGCAUACGCAACUGGUUUCUGAUUUUGUAUCAGUACAGCUCCAAGUCCUUUUGAACUAGCAUCAACACUGAGUGUAAGCGGUUUGUUCGGAUUGUAGUAUUGCAGCAGUGGUGCAUUUGUUGCCAUUUCUUUUAACUUCUGAAAGCUAGUUUCUUGUUUUUCAUCCCAGUGCCAUGCUGUGUUUUUCUCUAAGAGUGUUCUUAACGGUGCACUGACUGUUGACAUGUUUGGCAUAAACUUGCCAAGAUACUGAAUAAAACCCAUGAAGGUUUGU
rnacentral:lncRNA from 1 species